AUUGAACGCUGGCGGCAGGCCUAACACAUGCAAGUCGAACGAGUGGCGGAUGGGUGAGUAAUGUCUGGGAAACUGCCCGCUGGAGGGGGAUAACUACUGGAAACGGUAGCUAAUACCGCAUACCAUCAGAUGUGCCCAGAUGGGAUUAGCUUGUUGGUGGGGUAACGGCUCACCUAGGCGACGAUCCCUAGCUGGUCUGAGAGGAUGACCGGCAAAACUGGAACUGAGACACGGUCCAGACUCCUACGGGAGGCAGCAGUGGGGAAUAUUGGAAAAUGGGGGAAAGCCGGAUGCAGACAUGCCGGGUGUAUGAAGAAGGCCUUCGGGUUGUAAAGUACUUUCAGCGGGGAGGCGGUACUCGCAGAAGAAGCACCGGCUAACUCCGUGCCAGCAGCCGCGGUAAUUC
rnacentral:rRNA from 1 species